rnacentral:lncRNA from 1 species
AGAGUUUAUUUCUGUAGGUUGUUCCUUAUAUAACAGGGUAAACCAAUGGUGCUAUUUUUAAACAUUACAACACGGAUGAAAAUCAAUGCCACCAAUCACGAACACAUUGUACAUUUUAUCCAAAAAAAACUUAAAAUUGUUAUACAUGAUUGGGUGGCUGUAGUAGACUUUUCAUACAGCCAUUAACAUUCUAUCAAAGAUUAUAUGAUUAGGUGGUAAUAAAAAGCCAGCAAUCAAUCAGAUGUUUGGAAAAAAUUACAAUUUUACGAAAUCUGUUUUUGUUUUGUAUACCAAACCCAUACUUGCCAAUAC